rnacentral:rRNA from 1 species
GUACGGUGGAUGCCUUGGCGAUAUCAGCCGAAGAAGGACGCGGUAAGCUGCGAUAAGCUACGGAGAGGUGCAAGCAACCUGUGACCCGUAGAUUUCCGAAUGGGGGAACCCGGCAGUGGUUAUGCACUGUCACCCAUAGCUUAGACUAUGAGGAGGGCACCUGGGGAACUGAAACAUCUAAUUACCCAGAGGAACAGUAAUCAAACGAGAUUUUCUUAGUAGCGGCGAGCGAACGGGAAAG